AAUUACUUGGCAAGGGAUACUCUUGAGGACUUAAACCACCAUUUUUGGUGGACCACCAUCUUGGGUGGAUUUUUAAUUCGUCAAUUCUUGUAUCUAUAAUUAAGAGUUCUUUCGAUGGUAGAGCCAAUAUUUGGAUUGUCCAUCGUCUUGAUUUCAGGGACUGCACCAUGGGUGAUAGUGUUGUACAUUUCUUGUCCUAGUUCAAUCUCUCCGGCCGCCAACUUCUCAUGGUAUAUCCUCC
rnacentral:lncRNA from 1 species